rnacentral:rRNA from 1 species
UACGUAGGGGGCUAGCGUUGUCCGGAUUUAUUGGGCGUAAAGAGCGUGUAGGCGGCCAGGUAGGUCUGCUGUGAAAACUCGAGGCUUAACCUCGAGAUGUCGGCGGAAACCAUCUGGCUAGAGUCCGGAAGAGGAGAGUGGAAUUCCUGGUGUAGCGGUGAGAUGCGCAGAUAUCAGGAAGAACACCCGUGGCGAAGGCGGCUCUCUGGGACGGUACUGACGCUGAGACGCGAAAGCGUGGGGAGCGAACAGG